rnacentral:lncRNA from 1 species
CUCAGCAUAGCGCACCUGGCUCAUCACGGAACCAAGCACACCCCCCACAGCUCCAUGGUCUCGGGAUAGUGCACCUGGCUCAUCACAGAACCAACCACACCCCCCACAGCUCCAUGGUCUCGGCAUAGCGCACCUGGCUCAUCAUGGAACCAAGUGCACCCCCCACAGCUCCAUGGUCUCGGGAUAGUGCACCUGGCUCAUCACAGAACCAACCACACCCCCCACAGCUCCAUGGUCUCAGCAUAGUGCACCUGGCUCAUCACAGAACCAACCACACCCCUCACAGCUCCAAGGUCUCGGGAUAGUGCACCUGGCUCAUCACGGAACCAAGCACACCCCCCAGAGCUCCAAGGUCUCGGGAUAGUGCACCUGGCUCAUCAGGGAACCAAGCACACCCCCCACAGCUCCAUGGUCUCGGGAUAGUGCACCUGGCUCAUCACGGAACCAAGCACACCCCCCACAGCUCCAUGGUCUCAGCAUAGCGCACCUGGCUCAUCAUGGAACCAAGCACACCCCCUACAGCUUCAUGGUCUCGGGAUAGUGCACCUGGCUCAUCACGGAACCAACCACACCCCCCACAGCUCCAUGGUCUCGGGAUAGCGCACCUGGCUCAUCAUGGAACCGAGUGCACCCCCCACAGCUCCAUGGUCUUGGGAUAGUGCACCUG